rnacentral:piRNA from 1 species
AAUGAUUAGUUAGGGGAAAUAGU